AGGAAAGGAGAUUAAUAAUGAAACAUCCUGGUACACAUCACAACAAAUGCGCUGAAAGAAGUGAGCAAGAGGGAGAACAGGUGGAGGAGAAACGCUGGGUUUGGAUUAAGGAUUGUCUGCUUCUAGAUGGAGGCGCAUUCCAUGAAAGUUCACAACUUUUCCCAGAUCACGUCAUGUUUUUUUUCUUUAAUCACAGAAAAAUAAGCAGCUGGUGAGGCUUUAAAGAUCCUUUGGAAGAAUCGCUGACGUUACGACAUUUAACACAGAGGGCCUAGUUUUAAAAUUCAUAGCUCAAAAAGUAUUUGAAGUAGAGCUGUGGGAUUUUGCAAGAUUCUAUGGUUUAGGUAGAAGUUUUUUCAGGAUUUAUUUCAAGAAAAUUCAUGACCUCAACCUGGAGGCUCCUUGGAAUGACUCAGCAGUUAGUGGAAAAGUGGAAAAAGUUGGUGUAAAUGUCGAUCAAUAGACAAUGUCUGAAAACCACCUCCUCAUUGACUGGAAUUAAUAACAGGAAACUGCAAUGUGGAACUUCCACAGCUUCUAGGAACAGUAAGGUGGUUGAAAGCAGCCUGGUCAUGAGUCUCAGACUAGACCAACUAAAAGAUCACUACCAGAGAACCUGACAGAUGGAGUGGGUACAUGUUACGGUUAGUGUCCUGCGUGGGUUCAUCUUAAUCUGUUUCUGAUCCAGGUGUAACUCCUAAAUGUCCUGAUUUUUAACACCUUAAUAAAGACGGGCACCACCGAUUUAAACAAA